rnacentral:rRNA from 1 species
GUAGGGAAUAUUGGGCAAUGGUCGGAAGACUGACCCAGCCAUGCCGCGUGCAGGAAGACGGCCCUCUGGGUUGUAAACUGCUUUUAUCUGGGAAGAAAAAGGCCAUGCGUGGCAAAUUGCCGGUACCAGAUGAAUAAGCACCGGCUAACUCCGUGCCAGCAGCCGCGGUAAUACGGAGGGGUCGAGCGUUGUCCGGAUUUAUUGGGUUUAAAGGGUGCGUAUGCGGCUGAUUAAGUCAGCGGUGCAAGACUUCGGCUUAACCGGAGCAGUGCCGGUGAGACUGGUUGGCGUGAGUGUCGGAGGGGUACAUGGAAUUGAUGGUGUAGCGGUGAAAUGCAUAGAUACCAUCAGGAACACCGAUAGCGAAGGCAUUGUACUGGCCGACAACUGACGCUGAUGCACGAAAGUGUGGGGAUCGAACAGGAUUAGAAACCCGAGUAGUCC